UACAGAGGUCCCAAGCGUUGUUCGGAAUUACUGGGCGUAAAGGGCGCGUAGGCGGCCGGCUAAGUCGAACGUGAAAUCCCCGGGCUCAACCCGGGAACUGCGUCCGAUACUGGUCGGCUUGAAUUCGGGAGAGGGAUGCGGAAUUCCAGGUGUAGCGGUGAAAUGCGUAGAUAUCUGGAGGAACACCGGUGGCGAAGGCGGCAUCCUGGACCGACAUUGACGCUGAGGCGCGAAAGCCAGGGGAGCAAACGGG
rnacentral:rRNA from 1 species